UGCGCCUUGCCAGCCCGCUCAGAAACUCAAAGGAAUUGACGGGGGCCCGCACAAGCAGCGGAGCGUGUGGUUUAAUUCGAUGAUACGCGAAGAGCCUCACCCAGGUUUGACAUGCAUGUGGUACUGAUGUGAAAGCUGAGGGACCCUUCGGGGAGCAUGCACAGGUGUUGCACGGCCGUCGUCAGCUCGUGCCGUGAGGUGUUGGGUUAAGUCCCGCAACGAGCGCAACCCCUGUCGCCAGUUGUAUUUUUCUGGCGAGACUGCCGAGAAAACCUCGGAGGAAGGAGGGGACGAUGUCAGGUCAGCGUGGCCCUUACGCCUGGGGCUACACACACGCUACAAUGGGCAGUACAACGGGUCGCCAAGCCGCGAGGUGGAGCUAAUCCCAUCAAAACUGUCCUCAGUUCGGAUUGCAGGCUGAAACCCGCCUGCAUGAAGCCGGAGUUGCUAGUAACCGCAGGUCAGCAUUACUGCGGUGAAUACGUUCCCGGGCCUU
rnacentral:rRNA from 1 species